rnacentral:rRNA from 1 species
UACGGGGGGGGCAAGCGUUGUUCGGAAUUACUGGGCGUAAAGGGCUCGUAGGUGGCCAACUAAGUCAGACGUGAAAUCCCUCGGCUUAACCGGGGAACUGCGUCUGAUACUGGAUGGCUUGAGUUUGGGAGAGGGACGCGGAAUUCCGGGUGUAGCGGUGAAAUGCGUAGAUAUCUGGAGGAACACCGGUGGCGAAGGCGAGUCCCUGGACAACUCCUGACGCUGAGGCACGAAAGCUAGGGGAGCAAACAGG